rnacentral:lncRNA from 1 species
CAGACUCUCUUAUUUCUUUCUGGUGCAUACAAUUCCAGCUUUUGAGUGGAAACAUUUCUGGUAACUGAAUUCAAAUUUGAAUCAGAAACCAUUGGAAAGAUCAGAAGUAUCUCAGAAGAAUUUAUACCCAAACCACCACUCAUCGUCAGCUCCUGCUCAGUACUAACAAGGGUAAGAAUUUAUUCAUACCUAGUUUUCAUCUCUGAUAAGCACAGAUCAUUACUGAUAAGAAAUCAACAAUGAC